rnacentral:snRNA from 1 species
GGAUGUGAGGGCGAUCUGGCUGCGACAUCUGUCACCCCACUGAUCGCCAGGGUUGAUUCGGCUGAUCUGGCUGGCUAGGCGGGUGUCCCCUUCCUCCCUCACCGCUCCAUGUGCGUCCCACCUGAAGCUGUGCGCUCGGUGGAAGAGGACGACCUUCCCUGAAUAGAAGAGGACCGGUCUUUGGUCAAGGGUAUAGGAGUAGCUGCACUCCCCUGCUAGAACCUCCAAACAAGCUCUCAUUUCAUGUAAAGAACAAACUGACAUGCAGAAAAACUAAGAAAACCAAUACCAACACCUAGAUCAGAUUGACUGCUUUCU